rnacentral:rRNA from 1 species
GGUGCUGCAUGGUCGUCGUCAGCUCGUGCCGUGAGGUGUCGGGUUAAGUCCCGCAACGAGCGCAACCCCGCCGUUAGUUGCCAGCGGUUCGGCCGGGCACUCUAACGGGACUGCCCGCGAAAAGCGGGAGGAAGGAGGGGACGACGUCUGGUCAGCAUGGCCCUUACGGCCUGGGCGACACACGUGCUACAAUGCCCACUACAAAGCGAUGCCACCCGGCAACGGGGAGCUAAUCGCAAAAGGUGGGCCCAGUUCGGAUUGGGGUCUGCAACCCGACCCCAUGAAGCCGGAAUCGCUAGUAAUCGCGGAUCAGCCAUGCCGCGGUGAAUACGGUUCCCGGGCCUU